CGGCUGCGGCCGCCUCCCUCCCUCCCGACGCCGCUCCUGGGGCGUGCGGGCGGGGAGCGGCCCGUGGGGGCGGGGUUGAGGGGCGCAGUCGCUCCCUCGGACUCCCGGAGUUGGGCCCGGCUCUGUCUUCAGAUCAACCUUUGCAGCAGUAUAUACUAGAGAAAAAGAAAUGGAAACCCACCACACUGGCGUCCAUGGUCAGCUGGGUGGCCACAUGCAGGUGAUCCCAGGACCCAGCUUGUGCCCAGCUGCGACUCCAGACCAGCUGGAGAGAGGCUGCCUUACCUCUGUCCAGGACAUGCUCUCUGUGUGGGGAGGUCAUCCAGCACGGAAACAAGGCGGACUGCUUCCUGCCUUGGUCACACCUCUGCAGCUACGCUGGCAGCGGCCCCGGGGCCCCUCAGGACCUGCGUGAAAGUCCACACAGACCCAACUCGCCCUACUCUGCGACGGGGGACUCACACUCCACUCCGGCAGCAAUAAUGACAGGGACAACCAUUCAGAACUCUCAUAGGCUGUUCUGCUAUGUGCCAGGGAGGUGCUAGGAACUUUGCACGUAUCAUCUCAUUUAAUCAGCGGAGCAGCCCUGUGAGGAGUCCACUCCAGGAUUUGAGGAAGAGGCUGUGAUGGCUGUUCCACAGGCUGGGGGAACCCAGAGGGGCUCCAAGUGUGGGCUCCAGCCACCAGUACCACCAUCACCAUGGGUAGCUGGGCCAGAAUGCAGGUUUCUGGGUCCACUGAGGCCAUAUCCCUGGAGAUGGUGCCCAUGAAUCAUCUGGCAUGUUUCCUUGUGAAGAGCUUCCCCUAACAUCCAGAGGAAGGAGCCUGGGGCAGGGCUGGGGUCACUGUCAGGGGAGCAAAUAUAUUUAAAAAGUGCUGGUGGUUGUAAGAGUCUCCUGAUUUGGCUCUCACAUGUCUUCUCUGCCCAAUUCUCAGCAUGGCCUCACUUGCCCUGUUAACAUCAACUCACCUGUUACCCAGCUGUUCUAAGACACCACCUCUGGAGAAUGUGAUGCGAGGGGUCACACUCCCUGCUUCUCCCCCAAGACAUGUUCUGCUCCCAGACACCUGCUUGCAUAGGACCUAGCAUCUCUCCAGGCCCCUCACCCUUCUCUCUUAUUUCUUCUGGUCUGUGCUGCUGUUCCAUUGUGGGGGAGGCAGGGAGAGUGCUCCUAGAAUGUGCAAAGGCCCAUUCCCCUUGUGAAGUUCAAAUAUGAAAUUUACAUGAAUCAGUUCUCCUUUGAAUUUGAGGCAUUGAUAUUUUGUACCUCAUUAAUAUGUAGAUUGAGCAAAAUUGGAGGCUGUUUGUUUAGCCUCUUGGCUGGCCUUUCCGUCCCUUCUUUCUGGGUUUGUUUAUUUCUUGUCUCUAGCUACUGUUGCAGCUUUCAUUUGUCAGUCUGGUCUGACUUGGGUGAUGCCGGGAGAGGAGGCAAGGCCUGAGUCUGUGCCUCCUGGGGGAUGAAGAGCAGGCUCUAGGGGCAUUGUGGGAAGAAAGCACUAAAUGCUCGUAAAACUCCUUGCUAGCAGCUCAACAGCUAAAAAAAUAAACAACCCAAUUAAAAAAUGGACAAAAGACUUGGUUACGCAAUUCUCCAAGGAAGAUGUACAAGCAGCCGGUAAACACAUGAAAGGAUGCUUACUCAACACCACUAACCAGCAGGGAAAUACAAGUCAAAACCAGAAUGCAAUACCACUCCACACCUAUUAUAGGAUGGCUAUUAUUUUAAAAAAGAAAGAAAAAGGAGAAAACAAGUAUUGAUGAGGAUGUGGAGAGAUUGGAGCCCAUAUGCACUCCUGGUAGAAAUGUAAAAUGGUGCAUUGCUAUGAAAACUGUAUAGCAGUUCUUUAAAAAAUUAAAAUGGAAUUACCAUAUGAACCAGCAAUUUCAUUUCUGGAUAUAUAACAAGAAUUGAAAGCAAGGACUUGAAAAGACACUUGUGCCUCUAUGUUCAUAGCAGCAUUAUUUGCAAUGGUCAAAAGGUAGAACCUGCCCAGAUGUCUAUCAACAGAUGAUUGGAUGAACAAAAUGUGACCU